GCAUUUCGAUCUGGUGGUGGGCUCGCUAAGGCGGCCUCGACCAGUCAUGCGUGAUUGAAACGAACAGCCGCCCGAAACCUUCGAGGCGGCUUUUUC
rnacentral:ncRNA from 1 species